rnacentral:rRNA from 1 species
GACGUAGGGCGCGAGCGUUGUCCGGAUUUAUUGGGCGUAAAGAGCUCGUAGGCGGCUUGUUGCGUCGACCGUGAAAACCCGGGGCUCAACUUCGGGCUUGCGGUCGAUACGGGUCGGGCUAGAGUUCGGUAGGGGAGACUGGAAUUCCUGGUGGUAGCGGUGAAAUGCGCAGAGUAUCAGGAGGAACACCGGUGGCGAAGGC